rnacentral:rRNA from 1 species
CCUACGGGCGGCAGCAGUGAGGAAUAUUGGUCAAUGGACGAGAGUCUGAACCAGCCAAGUAGCGUGAAGGAUGACUGCCCUAUGGGUUGUAAACUUCUUUUAUAUGGGAAUAAAAUGUUUCACGUGUGGGAUUUUGUAUGUACCAUAUGAAUAAGGAUCGGCUAACUCCGUGCCAGCAGCCGCGGUAAUACGGAGGGACCGAGCGUUAUCCGGAUUUAUUGGGUUUAAAGGGAGCGUAGGGGGAAUGUUAAGUCAGUCGUGAAAGUUUGUGGCUCAACCGUGAAAUUGCAGUUGAAACUGGCAGUCUUGAGUGCACUAGAGGUGGGCGGAAUUCGUGGUGUAGCGGUGAAAUGCUUAGAUAUCACGAAGAACUCCGAUUGCGAAGGCAGCACACUGGAGCGCAACUGACGCUGAGGCUCGAAAGUGUGGGUAUCGAACAGGAUUAGAUACCCUUGUAGUC